AUGGAAGUGAAUCAGUGAUUGAUUAUUGGUUAGUACACUUUUUCAUUAUUUUUCUUCCACCAGCAAAGUUUGCUCAUCUCUAGGUGAACUAUAACAACCUUAAGAAAAAGUGGAGAUUUUUUAGAACUUAAACAUCUAGCUAUUACAUCAGGAGGAAGGGAUACUGAAGGAAAUGAAGGAUAAUUCUGUUCAUUUCGUAUUCCAUGAUGGUUCUAAUAGUAACAAGCUACGUUCAAACUAGGUAAGAGGAAUGAAGAAGAACAAGGCCCCAAUGAAGAUUCAAGCAGGUCAUAUUCAAAAGGCUGUUAGGUGUUUCUUUUGUAAGAAAAGAAAUAUUGUACUAAAACAAGAG